rnacentral:rRNA from 1 species
GGACGAACGCUGGCGGCGUGCUUAACACAUGCAAGUCGAACGGAAAGGCCCUGCUUUUGUGGGGUGCUCGAGUGGCGAACGGGUGAGUAACACGUGAGUAACCUGCCCUUAACUUUGGGAUAACUUCAGGAAACUGGGGCUAAUACCGGAUAGGAGCUCCUGCUGCAUGGUGGGGGUUGGAAAGUUUCGGCGGUUGGGGAUGGACUCGCGGCUUAUCAGCUUGUUGGUGGGGUAGUGGCUUACCAAGGCUUUGACGGGUAGCCGGCCUGAGAGGGUGACCGGCCACAUUGGGUCUGAGAUACGGCCCAGACUCCUACGGGAGGCAGCAGUGGGGAAUAUUGCACAAUGGGCGGAAGCCUGAUGCAGCAACGCCGCGUGCGGGAUGACGGCCUUCGGGUUGUAAACCGCUUUCGCCUGUGACGAAGCGUGAGUGACGGUAAUGGGUAAAGAAGCACCGGCUAACUACGUG